rnacentral:piRNA from 1 species
UGGGUUCUUGCAGCCCAAGGGAUGCCUUAGC